rnacentral:rRNA from 1 species
ACGCCAGACUCCUACGGGAGGCAGCAGUGGGGGAUAUUGCACAAUGGGGGAAACCCUGAUGCAGCGACGCCGCGUGUGGGAAGACGGUCCUCUGGAUUGUAAACCCCUGUCCCCAGGGACGAAGAUGACGGUACCUGGGGAGGAAGCUCCGGCUAGCUACGUGCCAGCAGCCGCGGUAAUACGUAGGGAGCGAGCGUUGUCCGGAAUUACUGGGUGUAAAGGGAGCGUAGGCGGGACUGCAAGUUGGGUGUCAAAUCUACCGGCUCAACCGGUAGCCGCACUCAAAACUGCAGUUCUUGAGUGAAGUAGAGGCAGGCGGAAUUCCUGGUGUAGCGGUGAAAUGCGUAGAUAUCAGGAGGAACACCGGUGGCGAAGGCGGCCUGCUGGACUGCGACUGACGUUGAGGCCCGAAAGCGUGGGGAGCAAACAGGAUUAGAGACCCCCGUAAAG